UACAGAGGUCCCAAGCGUUGUUCGGAUUCACUGGGCGUAAAGGGUGCGUAGGUGGCGGGGUAAGUUCGAUGUGAAAUCUCUGGGCUCAACCCAGAAAUGGCAUUGAAUACUAUCUUGCUUGAGGGUCGGAGGGGAGACUGGAAUUCUCGGUGUAGCAGUGAAAUGCGUAGAUAUCGAGAGGAACACCAGUGGCGAAGGCGAGUCUCUGGACGACUCCUGACACUGAGGCACGAAAGCUAGGGGAGCAAACAGG
rnacentral:rRNA from 1 species